rnacentral:sRNA from 1 species
AUUCCAAUCCCUGCCCGGAUGGUGAAUAAUAGCGCCCCGGUCUGCACACCGGGAAUCCAGGAGAGUUCAUGUAC